rnacentral:tRNA from 1 species
GGGUGUAGCUCAGUGGUAGAGUGCGUGCUUAGCAUGCGCAAGGUCCUAGGUUCGAUCCCCAGUACCUCCA